rfam:Calypte anna contig156, whole genome shotgun sequence.
CUAGGGUACGGUGACAUGUACCCCAUGACCUGGUCGGGGAUGCUGGUGGGGGCUCUCUGCGCCUUGGCCGGGGUCCUCACCAUCGCCAUGCCCGUCCCCGUCAUCGUCAACAAC